AUUGAACGCUGGCGGCAGGCCUAACACAUGCAAGUCGAGCGGAUGAAGGGAGCUUGCUCCUGGAUUCAGCGGCGGACGGGUGAGUAAUGCCUAGGAAUCUGCCUGGUAGUGGGGGAUAACGUCCGGAAACGGGCGCUAAUACCGCAUACGUCCUGAGGGAGAAAGUGGGGGAUCUUCGGACCUCACGCUAUCAGAUGAGCCUAGGUCGGAUUAGAUAGUUGGUGGGGUAAAGGCCUACCAAGGCGACGAUCCGUAACUGGUCUGAGAGGAUGAGCAGUCACACUGGAACUGGGACACGGUCCAGACUCCUACGGGAGGCAGCAGUGGGGAAUAUUGGACAGUAGGCGAAAGCCUGAUCCAACCAUGCCGCGUGUGUGAAGAAGGUCUUCGGAUUGUAAAGCACUUUAAGUUGGGAGGAAGGGCAGUAAGUUAAUCCCUUGCUGUUUUGACGUUACCAACAGAAUAAGCACCGGCUAACUUCGUG
rnacentral:rRNA from 1 species